GGCAAUUUUAAUUCAGAAGAUGGAAACCAGCAUAAUAUAGAUCUGUCGUGGCUUCAGCAUCAGGAAACAACACACUGAUCAUGACAUCAAACUCCAGAGGAAGCCGGCUAAGGAUGUGCUUGUUUUGAUGUGACAUGUGCCUGCGAUGAUUAACUCUCAUGCUCCCACAAUCUCUCCAGGGCCCCAGACUUGGUCCUUCCUCGCCUGUAAACAGGAUCAGGAUGCAUCCUGGAGUUCAGCCAAGGGCAUCUGGCCUUGGGAUAAGAAAGUUCCUCUGAGAUUAAGACUGAGAAAGGUCUUAAAAGCCAAGACUCCAAAUGGCAUCAGGAAACCCAGGCUCUUCGAAAUAUGCAGUGAAAAAUGAAACCCUUGCAAGAUGAGACAUUUGAUAAAGAAGAAAACAUCAAAUUUUCUUGAAGCUUUCCUCUCACUGUAACUCUGCCUCCUUGGAUUGAAGCUACAGAGAAGAAUGCAGCCUGCGGGUGCUCAUGCCUGAGCAUCAUCUCCUCUUUUCCACCUGCUGAGCUAUGUCUAAAUAGACAUCCUCUACCUUUGGCCCAAAACUUUCUGUUCCUGAAUAGAAAGAACAUUCUUGUCAUAUCAAGAGUUCUGGGAUAUUCUGGGAGCAGUUUAGAGCUUUCAAUCAGUAUAAAGUUUCUUUUCUCAUGAAAAGAUCUUGCCACAGGGGAUGAGAAACAAGCUAUUGAGCAUCUAAUAUAUGUGUAUACCAUGCUAAUCAAUUGUACAUACUUCAGUCUAUUUAAUUAACAGAAACACCCUCCAAGGAAGUCUUAUCCCCCUCAAUUAAGUAGAUUAAAAAUAAACGUCUUGGAGAAGAUAAGGUGAUUGAGCUUGUAAGAGAGCCAUGCCUUUUGCACUAAACUACACAGACCUAAUCCCUGUACAUAUAUCUGCCUUCCAUUCCCAAGAUCUCUUGGUAGGGUCUUCCAGAGAUCUUCUAGGAAUGUACUUAAUAACUGGUUCUUCCAUUAUUUUUCUACCAUUGAACUUGAAGAAGAUGUGACUGGGGAAUAAAGGCAAAGCCAAGCAUGAGAAGACCCAAGGAGAACAGGACCAAAGCCCUGAGGA
rnacentral:lncRNA from 1 species